rnacentral:rRNA from 1 species
UACGAAGGGGGCUAGCGUUGCUCGGAAUCACUGGGCGUAAAGCGCACGUAGGCGGACUUUUAAGUCAGGGGUGAAAUCCUGGAGCUCAACUCCAGAACUGCCUUUGAUACUGGAAGUCUUGAGUCCGGAAGAGGUAAGUGGAACUGCGAGUGUAGAGGUGAAAUUCGUAGAUAUUCGCAAGAACACCAGUGGCGAAGGCGGCUUACUGGUCCGGUACUGACGCUGAGGUGCGAAAGCGUGGGGAGCAAACAGGG